GCUGCCCUUCAAGCCCGGCUUGUGUGUUGGGUCGUCGUCCCCCCCGGGGGACGGGCCCGAAAGGCAGCGGCGGCACCGCGUCCUGGUCCUCGAGCGUAUGGGGCUUUGUCACCCGCUCGUUUAGGG
rnacentral:misc_RNA from 1 species